rnacentral:lncRNA from 1 species
ACAUUUAAAUUUAAAGAAAAAGUAAUUAAUGCAUUGUGUAAAACAUGAAAUUUUUUUUAAUCUCUUCUUGAUUAAUGUAAAAGAAUAAGUGAAAUAGGAAAUCGAAUUAGAAAAUUUGGGACUGGUAAUUUGAGACAGAGGGAGUAUCAUAUUAAAAUAAAUAUUUAUUUUAUUUAUUUAAUAUGCUAAAAAUAAAUACUAUAUUUAUUUUUAUUUAUUUAAUUUGAAAAAUUAAAAAUAAUUUAUAAUUUAAUCCCUAAUAUAUCCUUAUUAUAAAAUAUAAUCAAUCCCUAAAGGCUUUGAUACCAAUUGUAGAGGGGGUGCGGAAGUAGAUAAAUUAAUUAUGUUGUUUAAAAUUAUGGAAGUAGUAUAUAUUUGGAUUUAUUUGAUUAAUUUAUUAUUUGAUUAAUUU